UACGUAGGGAUCAAGCGUUGUUCGGAUUUACUGGGCGUAAAGGGCGCGUAGGCGGCUUAACAAGUCACUUGUGAAAUCUCCGGGCUUAACUCGGAACGGCCAAGUGAAACUGUUAUGCUAGAGUGCAGAAGGGGCAAUCGGAAUUCUUGGUGUAGCGGUGAAAUGCGUAGAUAUCAAGAGGAACACCUGAGGUGAAGACGGGUUGCUGGGCUGACACCGACGCUGAGGCGCGAAAGCCAGGGGAGCAAACGGG
rnacentral:rRNA from 1 species